CAGGGAGACAGCAAAAUGUUUAAUAUUAUUAUUUUGUCACCUUAGGUCGAUCGGUACCUCAAGUUGAGAAUCAAAGAAAAGCUGAGUAAUCGGCUUAGAGAUUGAUGAUUGAUUUUAGUUCCUAAACUUGUCUAGGUCACACCCCGCAAGGGUUACUCCUGGGCCAUUAGCUCAGGUGGUUAGAGCGCACCCCUGAUAAGGGUGAGGUCCCUGGUUCAAGUCCAGGAUGGCCCAUUCGGUGUUGGGGGUUUAGCUCAGUUGGUAGAGCGCCUGCUUUGCAAGCAGGAUGUCAGCGGUUCGAGUCCGCUUACCUCCACUGAAACCUAUCCUGAUAACUAAAUUCCGGAGAAAAUUUGUAGAAAUGACUUAGAUUUGUCUAUUUGAAAAGAACCUAGCCUCUUAUCAUCUUUUUAUAGUUGAUAACAUGCUGGGCUCCUAAGGAUUUAUUCCUUGAGACUUCAGUAGAACCUUGAAAACUGCAUAGAUUAGAAAGAAUAAAGCAUCUCAUGGAUGCAUAAUUUUGGAUUGAUUGUUAGCUUCUAAACUAAUGAUCAAUUUUCAGAAUUCAUGUUUAAUUCUUGAGUAAUAGCCGAGCACAAUUGAUUUUGUGUUUGUAUAUAA
rnacentral:tRNA from 1 species